rnacentral:rRNA from 1 species
CCCUAUGGGGCGCACUCUUUCAAAGCCUGGGAGUAUUGGCACUCCCUCAGGGGCUACGCAGACGUAUUUCAUUAUGCAGGCUAUUCCGGACUUAUCGCAUUCUAUGGGAUCAAAACCACAUGCAUCCAAUAGGUCUUCUAGUAACCUAAAUUGAUCAUAGACGGCAUUAGGAUUCAAUUCAUAGGAAUAAGGUGGACGCCCACGUUUAUUCUUGGAGGGUAAUGAUUUUUUGAUUAAAAUGUUAUUUUUCUCCAAAGCUUCGAGGUUGCCAUAAAUAGUCUCGAUCUUCACAGCCAACCCUUUUGCUUCCAAUUGUACCUUAAUUUUUUCUGCUGUGAGUGGUUCCUUAUGCCAAGAAUUGAAGAUCAUAAGAAUUUCCCGUCUCAGGCCCGUUCUAGUAUCAAGAACUUCUUCAGGAAUGCUGGCUUCUACCAUAUUAAUUGGCUGAAUUGGCGGGGGGGC